AUAGACUGCGGGCAGAUUCUGUCUCCCCACUGCAUUGGCACAAAGAGUAUUUAGUACUUAUAUUUGGAUCAUGUUUUGGUAUAAUCUUAUUUUAUCUAGAAUUGAAGUGUGCUGCCCUAAAUAACAUUGUACUACAACACGAAUCAAUCCUUAGGUCCAGUCGUUUAAAACAAGAUUCAUGGAAGGACCACUCUUUCGAAGAAUUACAGCGAAACAUAACGAGGUUGGAACAGGAGAUUGAAUUACAGAAAAAAGCAACCGAUAAAUGUCUCAGGGAUAUGGAAAAAUAUGAAAUAUUAGAAGCUGAACAUUUGAAACUAAGGAAAAUGUUGGAGGAAAUUCAAGUACAUAUUGAAACAGGCCAGAAUGGCAAGAAAUCUCAAAUGGAGCAGGCAAACCAAAAACAUUGGGGCACUCAAACGGAACAGAAAAGCGGUGUAAGAUUUCAAGAUAUUCCAGACAACAUUCUAUCGGAGUAUCCCUUUGUGCAUAUUAUAAGCUCCAUAGCUACAUUUAUGAUGGUUAUAACUCUACUAUAUGUAUGUUGUUGCAAGUCCUAGGAUGGAAAUAAUAUAGAUUUUAGUAUUAUAGCAAAGAUUUCACGACUUGUACAAAAACUACAUUUCAUCCUAGUUAUACCAUCAAACCAAGAAAUCUGUGGCCAGUUCAUGUAUACCAGGUGCUACUUUUUCUCCAAUGGACUGUACACUAGAAUAUAAUUUAAACUAGUCUAAGAUAUGAAAUAUUUUUUUUACUUAUUAUCAUCUUUUGAAAUAGUGUUUUUAUUUUUUUAAAUGUUGAUUAUGUAAUAAAUAAAUUAUUAUACAUCUA